rnacentral:lncRNA from 1 species
AUGCCUGGGGCAGCUCUGCUUCAGGCUGUGGGGACCAGGAUGGUUUUUCUUAUAUCUGUUAUCCUUUUCUUGAGACUCGAUCACCAGCUGGGGUAUGUUCUCAUGAGAAAGGCAGAAAUUUUAGAGAGCAAGUGGAAACACAGGAGGAUAUUGAGGUCUUGGCUCAGAAACUGCAUACUUCUAACCUACAUGCCAAUGGCCCAAAUGGAUUACAAGCCAACUCCAAGUCAAGCGAUGGAGAAGUCCACUCUCUCUUCCUUCAGGCCACACAAAGCCAUGCUGCGUUUGUUCUCAGAUGAAACCUGCAGUGAUUGAAAGACUGACAAUGAGAAUUCAUGAAGAGAUUGAUGGCUAAGAAGAAAAGAGACUUUUCAUGAGGCAAGAGGGGAAGCGUAGGAAAAGUGAGAGGAAGACCAAAAGGAAUAUAUAGGAAGCAAACAUUUACUGUUAUGCACAACAUCUGUUAACAGAAACAAAGAGAAGGAAGCUAUGCCUGAGCAUCAAUUUCUGAGAGAAAUUAGGAGAAUCUGGUCAUGAACUCUCAUAACCAACCAGCAGGUGGGGCCAAAGGCCAAGAAGAACUGGUAAUUGUCAGGGUGCAUCCAAGACCUUUUAGGGUGAAAAAGCAUUGAAGAGAGGCGUGGAAGUCAGUAAUCAGCAUAGUAUGGAAUAUUCAUUACCCUACAGGAGGUUGAGUUUUCCCUGCUCACAGAGCAUGAAGUUGGUGGGCCAGUCCUUACUAUCUUUUUUUCACCUAAUUUUUCAUUUAAUUUGUUAUCUGUGGUCCUUUUUUAAAACAUUAGGUUCACAAAAAUGGACAUUGCUAUUAGUCUUAUUAUGAAGGAUUAAAAAUUGUAAAAGAUACAUAAUACUUUAUGUUGUCAUUAAGAUUUCAAGACCUUGAAGUGGAUAAAAACAUAAUGGCAUCACUGCCUUUCAUAUUUAAAAUGGUUUUGGCAUUGACAGCCCAUAUCUCAGAAAAAUGGCCAGUCACCACACAUUCUCAUUGCAAAAAAUUUCAGGUACAGCCUGUUGUCAUUGAAAACAAACUGUGGAAACUAGCUGUUCAAAAGUAUAACUAAUGUAUUUUUAAACCAUGUUUUAAAAUAUUUUGAGAUGUACUAAAAUAGCUCUUGAUUAGAUGAAAAUAACUUUGUACUUCAUCAAUAAAAAUAAUUGUGCUUUUUCAUAUUUAUAAGUAGUAUGGGAAGUUAAUGUCGACUCUUUUUUAGAUUAUUAUUCAAUGUUGCCAUUUUUGACAUUAAGCACCAUGAUCCACCCCAAAAUAAUUUUCUUUAGAGGUGAUCUAUUCAAAUAUGUGUUAACAUUACCAUAUAAAUGAUGAUAGUUAAAUUUAUUAUUAGUAAAUGGAAAUCCUACUGUUGCACACACUUAACACUUCUUUUGCAAUCUGAUCUAUUUUAAAUGUAUUCUUUAACAUAAUUAUAUAAAGACAAAUUUAAUCUUAAUAUGUCAGAAAGUAUUAUCAUCUUGCAAGCAGUACUCCAAGGUUAAUAAUGUCUGGGAAUAUAAAGUGUUUUUGACUGUAAGAUUAGUCUUCUUAUUUGAAAAAGGCUUUAA